AUUGAACGCUGGCGGCAGGCCUAACACAUGCAAGUCGAGCGGUUGAGGUAGCUUGCUACCGAUGCAGCGGCGAACGGGUGAGUAAUACAUGGGAAUCUGCCUGGUAGUGGGGGACAACGUCUCGAAAGGGACGCUAAUACCGCAUACGCCCUACGGGGGAGAGGGGGGGAUCUUCGGACCUCUCGCUAUCAGAUGAGCCCAUGUCAGAUUAGCUAGUUGGUGGGGUAAAGGCUCACCAAGGCGACGAUCUGUAACUGGUCUGAGAGGAUGAUCAGUCACACUGGAACUGAGACACGGGCCAGACUCCUACGGGAGGCAGCAGUGGGGAAUAUUGGACAAUGGGCGCAAGCCUGAUCCAGCCAUGCCGCGUGUGUGAAGAAGGCCUUAGGGUUGUAAAGCACUUUCAGUGGGGAGAAAGGUAAUUCACCUAAUACGUGAGUUAAUUGAUGUUACCCACAGAAGAAGCACCGGCUAACUCCGUGCCAGCAGCCGCCGUAA
rnacentral:rRNA from 1 species